rnacentral:rRNA from 1 species
GAUGAACGCUGGCGGCGUGCCUAAUACAUGCAAGUCGAGCGAACAGACGAGGAGCUUGCUCCUCUGACGUUAGCGGCGGACGGGUGAGUAACACGUGGAUAACCUACCUAUAAGACUGGGAUAACUUCGGGAAACCGGAGCUAAUACCGGAUAAUAUAUUGAACCGCAUGGUUCAAUAGUAAAAGACGGUUUUGCUGUCACUUAUAGAUGAAUCCGCGCCGCAUUAGCUAGUUGGUAAGGUAACGGCUUACCAAGGCAACGAUGCGUAGCCGACCUGAGAGGGUGAUCGGCCACACUGGAACUGAGACACGGUCCAGACUCCUACGGGAGGCAGCAGUAGGGAAUCUUCCGCAAUGGGCGAAAGCCUGACGGAGCAACGCCGCGUGAGUGAUGAAGGUCUUCGGAUCGUAAAACUCUGUUAUUAGGGAAGAACAAAUGUGUAAGUAACUAUGCACGUCUUGACGGUACCUAAUCAGAAAGCCACGGCUAACUACGUG